AGAACGUAGCGAAAUGCGAUACUUGGUGUGAAUUGCAGAAUCCCGUGAACCAUCGAGUUUUUGAACGCAAGUUGCGCCCAAAGCCAUUAGGCUAAGGGCACGUCUGCCUGGGCGUCACGCAUCACGUCGCCCCCAACCCCAAUGCCCGGAUGUUGCGGGGGAGUUGGGGG
rnacentral:rRNA from 1 species